rnacentral:piRNA from 1 species
UUGUGGUAUACCCGCAAAUCACGGGAGAUC